GAUGAACGCUGGCGGCGUGCCUAACACAUGCAAGUCGAACGAAGCACUAAACAUGAAGCCUUCGGGCGGAGCGAUUAGUGACUUAGUGGCGGAUGGGUGAGUAACGCGUGGGUAACCUGCCUUACACAGGGGGAUAACAACCGGAAACGGUUGCUAAAACCGCAUGAAGUAUGAACAUCGCAUGAUGAUCAUAUUAAAUAUUUAUAGGUGCAAGAUGGGCCCGCGUUUGAUUAGCUAGUUGGUGGGGUAAUAGCCUACCAAGGCGAUGAUCAGUAGCCGGCUUGAGAGAGUGACCGGCCACAUUGGGACUGAGACACGGCCCAAACUCCUACGGGAGGCAGCAGUGGGGAAUCUUGCACAAUGGGCGAAAGCCUGAUGCAGCGACGCCGCGUGAGUGAAGACGUACUUCGGUAUGUAAAGCUCUAUCAGCAGGGACGAUAAUGACGGUACCUGACUAAG
rnacentral:rRNA from 1 species